GUGCUCUCAUUGGUAGCACAUACACUAAAACUGAACAAUCCAGAGAUUACAUGGGCCUUGGGGGAGAAUGACACACAAAUUCAGGAAGUGUUCCAUAUUUUU
ensembl:snRNA U6 U6 spliceosomal RNA